AGAUUGAACGCUGGCGGCAGGCCUAACACAUGCAAGUCGAGCGGCAGCACGGGUACUUGUACCUGGUGGCGAGCGGCGGACGGGUGAGUAAUGCCUAGGAAUCUGCCUGGUAGUGGGGGAUAACGCUCGGAAACGGACGCUAAUACCGCAUACGUCCUACGGGAGAAAGCAGGGGACCUUCGGGCCUUGCGCUAUCAGAUGAGCCUAGGUCGGAUUAGCUAGUUGGUGAGGUAAUGGCUCACCAAGGCGACGAUCCGUAACUGGUCUGAGAGGAUGAUCAGUCACACUGGAACUGAGACACGGUCCAGACUCCUACGGGA
rnacentral:rRNA from 1 species